rnacentral:rRNA from 1 species
GACUCUCGGCAACGGAUAUCUCGGCUCUCGCAUCGAUGAAGAACGUAGCGAAAUGCGAUACUUGGUGUGAAUUGCAGAAUCCCGUGAACCAUCGAGUCUUUGAACGCAAGUUGCGCCCAAAGCCUUUUUGGCARAGGGCACGUYUGCCUGGGUGUMACGMA